GAUGAACGCUGGCGGCGUGCCUAAUACAUGCAAGUCGAGCGAACAGAUGAGGAGCUUGCUCCUCUGACGUUAGCGGCGGACGGGUGAGUAACACGUGGAUAACCUACCCAUAAGACUGGGAUAACUUCGGGAAACCGGAGCUAAUACCGGAUAAUAUAUUGAACCGCAUGGUUCAAUAGUGAAAGACGGUUUUGCUGUCACUUAUAGAUGGAUCCGCGCCGCAUUAGCUAGUUGGUAAGGUAACGGCUUACCAAGGCAACGAUGCGUAGCCGACCUGAGAGGGUGAUAGGCCACACUGGAACUGAGACACGGUCAAGACUCCUACGGGAGGCAGCAGUAGGGAAUCUUCCGCAAUGGGCGAAAGCCUGACGGAGCAACGCAGCGUGAGUGAUGAAGGUCUUCGGAUCGUAAAACUCUGUUAUUAGGGAAGAACAAAUGUGUAAGUAACUAUGCACGUCUUGACGGUACCUAAUCAGAAAGCCACGGCUAACUACGUG
rnacentral:rRNA from 1 species